UGGGCCAAGGUCUCCCACGGCGAGACGCCCCUCCAUGUGGGAUGAUGCAUGCGAGGGGAGCCUGACACCAUCGCUGUCGCCAUCGCCAUGCCAACCCGAGGAAAGGACGAGGAUGAGGGGCAGUGUCACCAGGAAGCUGAGCCGAGGGGCCCGCGCCUGCCUCUGCCGUGGGGUCCCUCCAUGGGACUGUCCUCUGUCCACCUGACCGGACCCCUUUCCCAAAGCCACGCUGUAGCUGUCAGAAGGAGCUUAACACGGCGCGGCUGCAUGACCCCGGCGAUGAGUGAUCACUCUGAUGCGCUCGCGGACACGGACAGCUCGUGGGAACAUCCUGCAGGUCUCUGGACCUCAGAGUGGAUGUGGCUCGGCACCUAGGUUGGCUGCUUCGCCUCCGGGCUCGGUGCUUCCAGACACGCCCCACUUAGACGGCGGGGAAACCGGCCCUCUGGGCAGGCCUGGCUGAGCGGGCCCCUCGCCUCCUCUGAGCCCCACGCGUUGGAGAGAACUCAUGUGAAGAGUGAGACUAAUUCCAGGUGGAGGAGAAAGGAACCGGCUCUCCCACACUCCUGCCGGAUGCCAGGCGCACCACGAGGUCACAUCCCACGGUGAGCCUGUUUCCGAGGAGCAAGGUCCCUGGGAACAGAGGGAAGGGGCUCAGGGUGUCGCCCAUGGCGGGGACGGUGCCCAGGGUGUGGACAGUGCCCAGCCGGGACCUCCCCCCAGCGCCCGCCCCGCUGUGGGCACGGCAGGCCUCACACAGGACACGGCUAAGUCAGCCCCUGUCCCCCUCCCCCGAGGUGGCCAGCAGACAUCUGAUUGGAAGCCGGCUCCCGGGUCGCUUGCCUGCGAGGGCGAAUGUUUGCCGUGGAAGGAAGCGCCGGUGCCCUUGGCGGCCGCGUCUUGUUUGAACAGCACAUCGAUCAUGGGCGCUCACCCUGCUUCCUGUGGGUGUGAGCGUGAGUCAGGCUGGUUCUCACAGGCCCAGCCUCUGCCCCCCUGGGCAGAGCCCUCCCUUGAUCCCCACAGUUGCGGCCUUGCCCAGGGCUCUGGCCACACACUCCGGGCUCGGCUGGGAGCCGCCUUUAACUCCAGGGAUGGCUCUGGCCUGAGCUCAGCCCCCACGGCUACAUCCAUGGCAGGUGGCGAGGAGAACGGCCCCCACCCUGAGCCCGAGGCCGGGCACCCGGGCCGCUGCCCGAGGACUGGCUCGGUGCCUGGACCUGCGCGCAAAUCCCCUGGGGGCGUCUCUGGAAGCAGGACCGUGGAGUGAGGCUGCACCCCCCGUCUGCAGGCCUCCCUGGCUGUUGUUACAUUACUGGGUGACAGUCCUAUGUCUGACACACUCUGUCAUCCAGGACACAUUUCAAAGACACACCAACGGCCUGAAUGGAAGGACGUGACUGUGGAAAGUCUCUGUUUCCUCCCAUUUCACGGUCGGUGACCCGACCAGGAAGUCCGCCGGCCACAGGUCAGCGAGCCCCCUGGUCACCUGGGCGGCCUGCCCGGCAGCGACCACUCAGC